rnacentral:lncRNA from 1 species
GUCAAUUGAUCUGUCAACACUAUAUUCUUUUCACCCUCUUUUGGUCAGUUUAAGAGUUAUUCUUUUAUAACCUCUACCACAAAGCUUUUGCCCAGGUUCUUUCUCCGCUGGUCAUGGGCACGUCGUUGAUCUCUUUCAUUACUUCCGAGUCAAAGAGUCUGUUUAUCUCAAUGUAUGGUAUGAGUUUGAGCGUCAAACAGCUUUGGUGAGUAAAGCUACUUUUGUGAUUUAUCUCUUAUACCUAUACUUUUUAUAAUUAGCUGUCAGGCUUUAAAUAAGUAGCAUUUGUUUUCUGAUAAUUCACUUCCUCGAGCUGAGAAUUUCUCCUAGAUCAAGCUUGAGAUGUAGUUUAAAUAUACUAUAGGCACUGUCCUCACUGUUAUAAGAUAGUUUUCACCAGCGUUCAAGAUCUUUAUGCCAAAUUUUUUAUGUGAUUGAUGUCAUAUAUCCUACUUAAGCUUCUUGUCAUGCUUAAUCUCUAAAGUUUGUUUAAACUAAUAUAGAAGUUAUGUAUUCUUGUCAAAUACUGAUAAAUGUAAGAAAUGUGAUUGGUUUGAAUUUGACAAUAUGAGAAAGUACACAAACUGAUUAGGACGGCAAAGAAAAAUUAGGAGCAGCUUCAAACAAUAUGAGAAUGUGAUGACUAACCUGUUCCAUUCCAUUCUUGUAUGUGACCACUUCCUGCAGUUUUCAACCAUUGACCAGUUAACUGUGUAGAGUAGUAAGAGCAAAAGUUGACGGGAAUGGCACGUACCACAGCUCCAGAGGCAAUAAUGUAGAAAUCUGUUGGUAUCUCAAUUUGAAUAACAAUGUCAACUUUUGGUGGAAAGUAUUCUGCUUUUAUCUCUGAAACCUGUAAGAUCAAAAGACAAAGGACAUAGCUUAGUUAUUGGUGCUGUAUAGGUUAAAAAUUCUGGUUUUAGUAGGCAGGUAAGAGAAUGUAUCACCAACUGGACUAAGAAGUCUUCAGAAACCCCUUUGAAAAGAUAGGUAUUUCCAAUGGUUGUAUGGAAGAGAUAUUGUGCAAUGCCACACCUUAUUGCUUUGGGCAAAUCUCCUAUUACUUCCUCUUGCUGUAGUUCUGCAGUCUUGAAUUUGAGUGUCAAAUGUGCCAAAACUUGUUCUUUUAUGCCUUCUGGAAGUAUAUUCUUGCUUGCAUAUCUCAGUGUCUUAUUAAUGGCGUCCCACUGCAAUUAAAAGCUGAUUAUUAUAUUGUUCUAAACAUGCUCUCUUCACUGAGACUUGAGAUGUGGAUAACAUUACUGUAUUCUCAUUUUUCUUUAAGGUGUCAUUACCAUUGCGAAGGUUCGAGCAACGCCAUGG